rfam:Dipodomys ordii contig_54134, whole genome shotgun sequence.
UAGCUCAGUGGUAGAGCGCUUGCCUUGCAUGCAUGAGGCCCUGAGUUCAAUUCCUUAG